rnacentral:misc_RNA from 1 species
CACAGGGAGUAGCCCUGCCCCGUCAUGUCCGGACUGGCAGAUAAAAACAUUAUUUCAGGCGACAUGGAUUCUGGUUUUCGAUAAGUCAUUUUGAAAACAAACUUCGACGCUUUGAUGUCAGCAUAAUUAUUGUUAAGAAACGGACGACAUUCUUGCAGUGACCGGUAUCUGGCUAGCCUAUUUCUAAUCGCAUUACGAAACCCUCACCCAUCUUCAAAAGACGGGAACCGAUGAAAAUCCAUUUUUGAUCGGAAUAGCGUAAACAUCAAUCCAACACAAAUUUUCUGCUCGUGACGUUGGAGUGUUAUAUGAAAAACUUCAUUGACAUGAAGAACGCAGC